ACUGUAUAUAAACUUGAAAAAACUAACGGUCUAUCUAUCAGAAGCUGCAACAUUUUUUCGUGAACAAAGAGGUCUACAGCAUUGUCUGAAAAUGAACAAAGUAUUUCCCUUCACUCUCGUUUGUUUGGCCUAUGUCUGCAUGUCUAUGGCCGGAAAUUGGUUCAUACCAGGUGAAUGCCCACAGGCCAGGAAACCUGGGGCCGUCUGGUACAACCCGUGGUGUGAGAAGUGUGUCUGUGGCGAUAAGGGCUACACAUGUACCACUUGCCCAGUACCCAAGAUACCCAAGAACUGUAAAGCGUCUUACAACAACACACUCCUCUUCCCAGAGUGCUGUACACCUAUUCUUAAAUGCACUAACACCACAACUAGCGGCUAAGCCUGUCCUUGACUGACCAGCUAGCGGCUAAAUCUCUACGUGACUCACCACCUUAUGGCAAAAUCUGUUUUUGACCGUCCACCAAAUGGCUAAACCACUCCUUGACUGACCAACUUAUAGCUAAAUUUAUCCUUCACUGAAAAACGUAUGGCUAAAUCUAUCCUUGAAUGAUCAACUUAUGGCUAAAUCUAUCCAUGACUGAACAACUUAUAGCUAAAUAUAUCAUUGACUGACCAACGUAUGGCUAAAUCUAUCCUAGACUGACCUCCUUAUGUUCGUGACUCUCCAGCUAGCAGCAAAACAUGUUCAGUUUUUCAUAUCAGUAAUUAAAGAAUUUCAAAUUUC